rnacentral:lncRNA from 1 species
GGCGACAGCCAACCAAUCUACUGAGCGUCACACUUUGUUCCCUAGCAGAGACCAUUGUCUGCGCCUUAUCUCCCUGUCUUCAGGAACCAGGAAUGCCAAGAACCAAUCGGACCGAGCAGAACCAGCAGGAACAGUUCAACUGUCACAAACUGCCAUUGCUGCUGCCACCAACCAUCAGGAGCUGCCACGAACCAUCAUCAGGAUCUCUCACCAACUUGCAUCAGGGCAGUCCUGUUAUCCUUUUAUAAGUGACCACUGUGGACGGAGCCUCGAGCAUGACUUCAGCCAAAUCCAGCUUGCCUGUUGGCGCAUUCCUGCACGAGACCUCCAAGCGUCCAUUUUCGUACUCAUUCUCUCCCAACAAUCGAACGAGAUGCAACUCCCAACCAACACAGGCCUGGCUUAUGACUCCAUGUUCGGGGCACAGGAUGAACACCAGAAAGUGGCCACUUGCUGGAACAAAUGUGCGGAAACAAAAAGCGCCCACAGACGUCAACGGGCAAUCAUCUCCUCCCUGUUCAGCUCAACAUGAAGAAGAGCCGGUUAACAUCCACAGAGCUGCUGAACGGGGUGUCGAUCGCCAAUGGAAAAAGCUUCAAUGCAGAUGUCGAGACUCACUAAAGUCAGGAGGAAGGCCAAUCAAUCUGGUGCUCAAGAUGAGAUAUGAAACGUACUUCACUUUUAAGAUUUGAACGAAACUUGAUACUGCAUACUGCAGCAGAAUGGACCAGUUUCAUCGGUUGUUGGUGAAUCAUCGGUGACAGCGCAGAGAGGAGAGAGAUGUGGAUGGAUCUUCGUUUUUCAUUUAUAUAUUGACUGCUUUUCACAUUUACAUGUGGUACAUGCUUGGGAGCCUCAUUGGUAUGCAUUUCUGUCUGCCCUGUCGCUGAUAAUUCGCCAACAAGCGAUGAAACCAGUCUGGCAGCUGAGAGGUGUGUGUAGCAAUGGGAUUCUCAUGUGUGUACUAUUUGGGAAUGUCUUUAUAGCUUCAGAGGAACUCUGGGAAGGGUUUGAAACAGCAAAGGGCUUACCUUGUGUAGGCUUUCUUUUUUGCUUUAAGCAGCUUCUUUGGCUCGAAGAGCAUGCGAAAAGUCGAUUUAUUUAUAUAUUCCUAGCCACCUGCGUUUAAUUGAUCAUGUGAGAGCUAAUUCGUUAUUCCCUCCAUUGACAGGCGAGAGAUGUUGGUGCAUCUUUGUUUUUCAUUUUUAUAUAUCAUUAUCCAAUAUAUGUAUCAAAUAAUUCAUCAUAUGGUGAUUUAUUCUCUAGCAA